GAUGUUUCUGUGGUGUAGUGGUUAUCACGUUUGCUUUACACGCAAAAGGUCUCCGGUUCGAUCCCGGGCAGGAACAUUUAGAAGUAC
rnacentral:tRNA from 1 species